ensembl:lncRNA
CGAGUGGGAUGGUGUUAUACCUCAGGGAGAGCACACUGAUUGGUUUAGUUUGAAACUGUUCAGGCAACUGCAAGCAAAAAAUUCCAAAUGCUGUACUAUCACUCUUCUUUUUUUGUCCAAUCUUGGCGUAAAACUGGUGUUAUGGAAAUCUGGACAUGAUGACUCGUGUAGCAACAUAUUAGAUUUCAGACGUAUUUAAGAAGCAGAAGGAGCGACGGAUUUCCUGCCCAUGCCUGUGCCAGACGGAUACAUGGAGACGUGCCGGAUGUCUCAAAUGCACAGGCAGGAGAUGGCUCAAAAUGUGGUCACUAGGAGCCAGGGAAAACGGUUGGGAGUAAUGCAGCCCACUCGAGCCCCAGAGACUUUAAGCUCAGGCACAAGAUCCUCUCUGUGUCUUCAGCGACUCCGUGACCUACUG